rnacentral:rRNA from 1 species
AUUGAACGCUGGCGGCAUGCCUUACACAUGCAAGUCGAACGGCAGCACGGGUGCUUGCACCUGGUGGCGAGUGGCGAACGGGUGAGUAAUACAUCGGAACGUACCUUAUCGUGGGGGAUAACGCAGCGAAAGCUGUGCUAAUACCGCAUACGCCCUGAGGGGGAAAGCGGGGGAUCGCAAGACCUCGCGCGAUUAGAGCGGCCGAUGCCUGAUUAGCUUGUUGGUGGGGUAAAAGCCCACCAAGGCGACGAUCAGUAGCUGGUCUGAGAGGACGAUCAGGCACACUGGGACUGAGACACGGCCCAGACUCCUACGGGAGGCAGCAGUGGGGAAUUUUGGACAAUGGGGGCAAUCCUGAUCCAGCAAUGCCGCGUGAGUGAAGAAGGCCUUCGGGUUGUAAAGCUCUUUUGUCAGGGAAGAAACACCGGCUCUAACACAGUCUGGGAAUGACGGUACCUGAAGAAUAAGCACCGGCUAACUACGUGCCAGCCGCCGCCGUAA